UACAGAGGGUGCAAGCGUUGUUCGGAAUUAUUGGGCGUAAAGCGCGUGUAGGCGGCGUGACAAGUCGGGUGUGAAAGCCCUCAGCUCAACUGAGGAAGUGCGCCCGAAACUGUCGUGCUUGAGUGCCGGAGAGGGUGGCGGAAUUCCCCAAGUAGAGGUGAAAUUCGUAGAUAUGGGGAGGAACACCCAUGGCGAAGGCAGCAAACUGGGCAUCAUCUGACGCUGAGGCGCGAAAGCGUGGGUAGCAAACAGG
rnacentral:rRNA from 1 species